UUGCUGAUUCCAUGUUUGUGAAUUCAUCCAUUCGCUAAAAUUUAUGUGUAACUCCAAAACUGAUCGCAGCCACUCGCAGGGAGGCACAGAGGUGACAAAUGUGAGUCCCCAACGCUCCUGUUCCUAGGUCGGCACCCUGCUUUGUGCUGUCAGCUCUGAUGCUGUAAACGGCGUCCUCCCUAGUUAGUGCCACGGUGGUUUCUCUCUCUCUUUUUUUCUUCUCUAGUAUUUUUGUGCUUUUUGCCUGCUUUUGCUGUAUUAAAUGGCCCUAAGUGUAGUGGGGAAGGGCUGUCUCGAGUCCUAAGGGCAAGAAGGCAGGGGUUGCCUUCCAGAGGAAACGCGGGCCUAGGCCAGCUUCCUUUGGGCACGAGUUAAAGAGCUGGUGGCCGGGUUCAAGUUCAUGCAUCAACCAUACACGUGAAACAAGGUGUCUUUAAGUAGAAGCACAUGUCGUACAAGGUCGCAUAUUGAUUGACUAACGAAGAUAUUGUGGCCAGAGGCUUUCGGGAAGCUAACCCUGAACUGCCCCCAGGAGCAAAGGUUCAGUGUUUGCCGCAACUCCAUGGAUUCGACUGUGUGUCAGCUAAUGUUAGCACAGGGGGAAGGCAAAACCCCAUCUGCCGUCCGGGACUCUGGAAUGCGUGAGUUGGGGGCUGGAAGGUGAACGUUUGGAGCAGAGAUGGUUUUGCAUUUGGGACGUUUCUGUCAGGGCCGUCACCACGCUGGCAGGGGCGUCCUCAGGAAGCAGAGGGGGACGGGCCCGUGCGCAUCACAUGAGCAGGUUGAGUUCCUCAGCCCCGUCAUCAGCAGUGAAGGAAAGAGGGUUUUGGUGAUGAGUUCCCCACCCCUCACCGGCUGCAGAAAACUCACCUGGCUCUGUGGUGGUUCGUGUGGGAAGCCGGGGCGAUCGCCAGGACAGGUAGCGGCUCAGCUUUUUGCUGCAAACGGAAAUUCAUGGAGAUGCUGACUGUCCCAUGGGGCCCUUUACGCACAUGGCCGCGACUCUUCAACAAACACUUUCCACGUUAUGUUCACUCCGCUGUGCAAUCAGUCGGUAAGUGGGAGAGCACGGCUUUCCUGCUCCUCUCCGUCAGUAGUCAAUUACGGAGCAACGAAGUCCUGUCAUGUCCCAGGGCAGGAAGAUCAUUCCAGCUAAAACAGUGCCGAGGUCUCAAGUUCCCUGACGGUCAGGAAAUGAGAUGGUUGGGCUUCGUCAUCUCUGUAGAUGGCUGUCGUCCGUGGGGUCUUGUCGGUCCUUCAGUGAUGGAAACAAGCCCUUUGAGAGGGGUCUGGCGCGGCCUCGCAGAGUUGACGCUUCCAUUUCAUGAGUCUCUAUUAAAUAAAUUC